AGAUACACGCAAAUAUCAAUUUUCAAUUUAUAAAUAAUUUAUGUUUAUUUAGUAAAUCAUGGCGUAGGUCGUAGAGAGUUAUGUGGCUGCUGUUUGUGCCAAACCGAUUCAAAUCCAUCUAGAACACACAUCAGAUUUUAUUUAAUCGUCAUCUCGAAAGGCAAAUCGCUGAGGAUAUCUUUACCAUAAUAACCUCUUCUAAUAGGCUGUUCAGUGUUAAAAACUGUAGGUUCCAUAUAUCAGAAUAUUGCAGAAAAACUCAUCACGUCUCAAACAAGAGACAACUUAAGAGAAAAAGAUUAAUUAAUGGGAAACGCUUCUUUGGAGCAAAAAGUAAAGUGUCUUGCUAGAAAUAAAAAGUAUAGAAUAAGACUGGAAACUUUCGUAUUUAUUUAUUAUGAAAAUAAAUAACUCACCCUUUUUUAUUUGUAUUAUGUAGGCACAUCUAAAAUGUAGAUGCAAUAUAUAUAGUUGCUCAAUUUUACAUGGAGUUAAACGAAAGGAGGGAGUUACAUGUAUUUUGGUUAACACACAGACCAUGAGGAUUGUGCAAGAAAGCUAUAAACUAUAAGAAGGAAAGAGGAGUAUAAGAUAGAAAGUAAAAAAAUAUAACUAAAUAAUAGAAGACAAGCGAUAUUACAUCAGUAUAAUAAUGAAUUACAAAUUGAAACUAUAAGCUUUUGUUGCGUGUGUGUAGAUAAUUGGCACGUUUUUUUUACUGAAUAUAAUUUUAUUAAACGUUUUGAACAUUUUUCUUAGCAAUGUACGAAAUUUUGUAUAUGUAAUUACUUAAAAUAUUAUUUUAAGUAUUUCGUGUUGACGCAAAAAUUGUUCAAACACGAAUAUCUGAGAGUACACAUGUGCAUGCAUAUAUAUACGUAUAGAUUUGUAUAUGUUGUAUACACAGGAGAACUGUUCCCAAUUUUGCGUCACUGCUCCACCGAGACUCUUUGAUUAAUCUCGUGUUGAUUUUUUCCCGAUGAAAAUUACAUUAGAUACCAUUCACGUCCAUAAUUUUUCAACAUUUAAUAAUAAACGACUUGUUAUAACAUAGCUUUUAAUUAAAGUUUUAUUCAAGUAAAGUUCACUUGAAAUUUACUGGAGCGCGAGAUUUUAAUACGUAUUACGUACUGACUGCAGUUUAGCUCGAAGAGACUCUUUAAUUUUUAAUUGUUCGCGAUAUAAUAUCUACGUGUUAUAAUGUUUCUCGAUAUUUUUAUUAAAGAGAAAUUGAUUUUUAAUUGAUUUUAAAUUUCGGUCAAAGAAUCUCGCUGUGUGAAGCGUACUUGGGGACAUCCUGUGUACGCGCGUACAUUUUCGUAAGUAUAAAUCCGUAGCUCAUCUUGAAAGGUCAGAAGAAUUUCAAGCGCGAAGUGUUAAACAUAGAAAAGUCCAAAGUGUCUAGACUAGGUUACAG